ACGAGGUGCCCAUAUGAUGUGCAACAUCAUAUUAUAAAUGCACCGAGGAUAGGCCGCCGAACGAGAGUGAGGGGGCAAUACCCAU
rnacentral:sRNA from 1 species